AACGAACGCUGGCGGCAGGCUUAACACAUGCAAGUCGAGCGCCCCGCAAGGGGAGCGGCAGACGGGUGAGUAACGCGUGGGAAUCUACCCAUCUCUACGGAAUAACGCAUGGAAACGUGUGCUAAUACCGUAUACGUCCUUCGGGAGAAAGAUUUAUCGGAGAUGGAUGAGCCCGCGUUGGAUUAGCUAGUUGGUGGGGUAAAGGCCUACCAAGGCGACGAUCCAUAGCUGGUCUGAGAGGAUGAGCAGCCACACUGGGACUGAGACACGGCCCAGACUCCUACGGGAGGGAGCAGUGGGGAAUAUUGGACAAUGGGCGCAAGCCUGAUCCAGCCAUGCCGCGUGAGUGAUGAAGGCCCUAGGGUUGUAAAGCUCUUUCACCGGUGAAGAUAAUGACGGUAACCGGAGAAGAAGCCCCGGCUAACUUCGUGCCAGCCGCCGCAGUAACAC
rnacentral:rRNA from 1 species